CAGAACGAACGCUGGCGGCAGGCCUAACACAUGCAAGUCGAGCGCGCCUUUCGGGGUGAGCGGCGGACGGGUUAGUAACGCGUGGGAAUAUACCCUUUGGUACGGAAUAGCCUCUGGAAACGGAGAGUAAUACCGUAUGAGCCCUUCGGGGGAAAGAUUUAUCGCCAAAGGAUUAGCCCGCGUUAGAUUAGGUAGUUGGUGGGGUAAUGGCCUACCAAGCCUACGAUCUAUAGCUGGUUUUAGAGGAUGAUCAGCAACACUGGGACUGAGACACGGCCCAGACUCCUACGGGAGGCAGCAGUGGGGAAUCUUGGACAAUGGGGGCAACCCUGAUCCAGCCAUGCCGCGUGAGUGAUGAAGGCCUUAGGGUCGUAAAGCUCUUUCGCCUGUGAAGAUAAUGACGGUAGCAGGUAAAGAAACCCCGGCUAACUCCGUGCCAGCAGCCGCGGUAAUACGGAGGGGGUUAGCGUUGUUCGGAAUUACUGGGCGUAAAGCGCACGUAGGCGGAUCGGAAAGUUGGGGGUGAAAUCCCGGGGCUCAACCCCGGAACUGCCUCCAAAACUAUCGGUCUAGAGUUCGAGAGAGGUGAGUGGAAUUCCGAGUGUAGAGGUGAAAUUCGUAGAUAUUCGGAGGAACACCAGUGGCGAAGGCGGCUCACUGGCUCGA
rnacentral:rRNA from 1 species